rnacentral:lncRNA from 1 species
AACAAUUCAUGCAGCCAGUCUUUACUGAACAUGUACGUGCCUAGGAAGUCUCAGGAAUGGGUAAGUGCUCCUGCUCCCACACAGUCUACAGACCUGGGUGCAAUGGUGAGAAAGACCUCAGUAAAGCAAAGGAAUUACGAAAGGGAGAGGGCUAAAGUCAAGCCUUUGGCCUCAUCCUAUUCUGACAUCACAGGGAGGCAGCAGCUGAGGCUGUGGUGGGAGAAGAAUGACAAGAACUGAGCGUGGGCCACGGGCUCUUAC